rnacentral:lncRNA from 1 species
AGUCUCUCUUUUUAUGAAGUGUAUUCUAAUUUCUGGUUCUAAAUGAAAGAAAGUACAUAUAUCAUCAUAUGAUUUUUGCAAACUAAUAUUUGAUAUGAUUUAAAAAUUAAAUAGACUAGAUUGAAUUUCUUAAUUUAUUUAUUCUGUACAAUUUAAGUACAAGGAUAAUUUUAAUCAGUCUUUCUAUAUUUCUUAAUUAGCUCAUCCUUCCCUAAUUAUUACAUUAGCUGAAGUUUUCAUUAAAGCCUUCCUGUUCCUUAUCUCUGAAGGACAGUGUCAUAAUGAAGUUGAAGGAUACAUAGAGGACUAAGGAAAUGGUAAUUUAUAAUUUAUAAUUUAAUGUGACAAGCUGACAUUUUACUUAUUAUGGUGAAGCCAUUUUAGGAGGAAGGGCAAUGCAUAUUUUAAAAAUACAUGUAGCAAUAAGUGACUUGUAAAAAUCAUAGAUGAAUACAAGUACAGCUCAACUUAUAUAUCCUUAAAUUCUUUAGCCUUCUGUGGGAUGCUGGUCCUCCUUUAGCAGUCAGCUAAAAUGUCAAGUCUUCAUUUUGUGUGAGUGCCAGAAGCCUAGUGCCCUCUCUCUUCAACUCUCGCUGCUGAUUCUUAG